rnacentral:rRNA from 1 species
AUCAAGCGUAUCCGGAUUAUUGGGUUUAAAGGUGCGUAGGCGGCUUGUUAAGUCAGGGGUGAAAGGCGGUAGCUUAACUAUCGGAGUGCCCUUGAUACUGACGAGCUUGAAUGCAGCUGAGGUAGGCGGAAUGUGACAAGUAGCGGUGAAAUGCAUAGAUAUGUCACAGAACACCGAUUGCGAAGGCAGCUUACUAAAGUGCGAUUGACGCUGAGGCACGAAAGCGUGGGGAUCAAACAGGAUUAGAUACCCUGGUAGUCCACGCCCUAAACGAUGAAUACUCGAUGUUGGCGAUAUACGGUCAGCGUCUAAGCGAAAGCGUUAAGUAUUCCACCUGGGGAGUACGCCCGCAAGGGUGAAACUCAAAGGAAUUGACGGGGGCCCGCACAAGCGGAGGAGCAUGUGGUUUAAUUCGAUGAUACGCGAGGAACCUUACCCGGGCUUGAAAGUUAGUGAAUGAUACAGAGACGUAUCAGUCCUUCGGGACACGAAACUAGGUGCUGCAUGGCUGUCGUCAGCUCGUGCCGUGAGGUGUUGGGUUAAGUCCCGCAACGAGCGCAACCCCUGUGUUUAGUUGCCAGCACGUAAUGGUGGGGACUCUAAACAGACUGCCUAUGCAAAUAGAGAGGAAGGAGGGGACGACGUCAAGUCAUCAUGGCCCUUACGUCCGGGGCUACACACGUGCUACAAUGGAUGGUACAGAGGGCUGCUACCUGGCAACAGGAUGCCAAUCUCUAAAAGCCAUUCACAGUUCGGAUCGGGGUCUGCAACUCGACCCCGUGAAGUUGGAUUCGCUAGUAAUCGCGUAUCAGCAAUGACGCGGUGAAUACGUUCCCGGGCCUUGUACACACCGCCCGUCAAGCCAUGGAAGCUGGAAGUGCCUGAAGUGCGUAACCGCAAGGAGCGUCCUAGGGUAAAGUCGGUAACUGGGGCUAAGUCGUAACAAGGUAACC